CUUUUUUGAAUAGAGAUUAUUUUCCAUGAUCAGAACAAUACUUCUGCAAAGGGAACCAAGCACAGCUUGUUUUCUUUGAUGGGUAGGAGUAAGGACGUGCUCUGGUUAGAGGUGAUGGCCUGACUCAUUCCAUGGUAGAGUUGCAUGUUAGUGGCAGCAUGGUGGAAAGGAUCACUUGGAUGAUCAGUGUGAACACUUGUGAGACUGGAGUGAAAAUCCUGAAGCUGUCACUGGGGGCAAACUGCAGUGUGGCUGAGGGCAGCAGCUCCGGGGAUUCAGAGCCUUCGCUCUGUGCUGGUGCUGAGGGUGGCAGAGCUGAUUCCAUCAGCUACAGAAACAAAGCCUUUCACUCUGGAGAGGUCCCCAGUCAAGUUGUCUAACUUCGGUGACCUUUCCUGAUAGCUGGAACAAGAGAUCCACAACAUAUGUAUUUGUCUGUAUUUGUUUAUAAAAGCAGAGUCUCAUUUUGAAACUGUGAGCUCAUCUUUUUGCUUUCCUGGAAUGCAUUAAUUUUCUUCUGCGUAUGUGUCUGCUGCAAGAAAGACCUUGGCUUACUGUGGCAAGAGUAAGAGCCAUUACUUCUUCAGAAAUAUGAGACUUCUUAGGGUGCCAUAACCCAAAGCAGUGCUGUGAAUGCUGAGAUCUGUAUUCUGUUUCACAACAGAGGGGCCAUAGAAAGAAAGAACAAAGUUUGUAUGGGGCAAAUGGUUGAGAGCUCACAAACGUAAGACAAAACUGCUUUCACAGAGAGGAAUCAGCUCAAUAUCUUCCCUUCUGGUGCAGUAUUAGAGCAAAUCUUACCACUUCUGUUAGCUAGGUGCUUAUUGGGAGAUAACAGCUUCGCCUGACCGUCUCAUGGAGGACCAGUUCAAGUUCAAGCCAGAGUAAUUGCAAGGUACUUAGGAAAACAGAGGUUUUAUGCUUUCCUUUGCAAGCUAAGCAGUCUGUCACGCCUCCAGACAUUGCAAAUAGUGCAUGGGCCUGUAUUGGAUAUGUAAUAUUAUUCUGAUCCUUUGAUCUUGCUCCAUAAACCUCCAAGUCUCAACAAGCCCAUCUGAAGCAGGGGAAAUGUUUGUAAUCUCACCUUGACAGAUUUGGAAACUGAGGCAUGGUUUGCCUGCCCUGCAGCCGCACGCUGGUCAGUGGAAAGCUGGGGCUGUGUUCCAAUCCUGCAUGGGACCAGGGUUUCAGCAUGAAUCAUUUGGUUCCCAGUGACCAAUGCUUUUCAUUCUGCCCCAUCUCUUCCCUAUGCUCACUGUGUCUGUGCUCAGAUCAGCAGUUUCUGCAGUUUCUGGGAUGGCAGUGUUGGUGCUGCAGUGGAAGCCUGUUGUGUGCUUGCAUGCAUCUCCUGCUGCAUCCAAGCCCCAGUGAAAAGCCAUCAGCCUCCAUUGCCUUUGAAUCAAGUCCUCGGUAGGCAGUAGGCUGAUUGGUUUCUUUGUGCUCAGAAUAGAAAAUUCCUGAAGAAGCAGAGGCAAGUUACUGAAGAAUUUUUGCAGUGGCACAACUUGGGGGGACUUAGCCAAAAUGAGUGGCACUUCCCACCAUGGAGAUCUAAAACAGAACAGCUGUUGUAAAUGGAGCACCCUAUAUUUGGCUAAAAGAAAAAGCAACAAUAACACAGACAGUGAGCAAGCAGGAUUUGGAACUUACUGAUGUCCCCCUUAGCACUCUUGCCCUUUCCCCCUCUUCCAUUUUAGAGAAAGGCAUUGUGAAGCAGGUGUGUUCAAUCUGAGACGUGGCCAGCAGCUGUGCUCACAGCAGCAGGUGUCUGGGGUCAGCUGCUAAUGAUGCGCCCCUCGUCCAUGAUUGGUCACUGGAGAGAGCCACUGCCUGUCUCCCAGUCCUCAUAACAAGGCAGCAGUGCUGCUAGGUAAGUUGGCAGGAGUCACUGGGGCUUCUGAGAGCCUUCUCUGUUAAAUGAAGAUAUUCACCAGGUGAUCUUGAUAAAGCUGGCUCCAAAGGUUCUGCUUAAUCUGUGUUGCAUAAUGUUGACCAGGUCAGUUUUAAUGCAGUGAAAAUGGAAGCUUUGAUCUGCGAAUUAAUGUGCAUUCACUUCAUGGUUUGGAAGUAUCACUUCAGAAGAUGCUACGGAAUAACUUCAUCAUUAUCAGGGCGGCGCUGACUCUGCAAGCUAAAACAGGAGCAGCAAGCAGUAAUUGCAUCCACUUGGUUACUGGAGUGAGAGGCUUGGAGUCUGAAUUCAGUGGUGAUCUGGGAAGCCCGAGUGUUCCAUGCACAGGCCGAUCCCACGACCCCUGAGGAUGUCGGCACCGAUGGGAACGCAUCGCAGCCCUCCCCAGCAGCAGUCCCCACAGGGGCGCUCCCUGUGCACCUCAGAGGAGCCAAUGCUGUAAAUCCCAUCCUGGUGGUCUGUUGUCACACCUUGCCCCUGGGAUGAGGGGAUGCUGGAGCCCUGAUCCUGACACAGCGGUAACUGCACUGCAGGACAUGCUGAGCCCCGGAAAUUUGGGCUGGAAGGGCUCUUUGGGACUCUGCUCAGAGGCACUUGCAAGAUAACAAACACUAAAAUAAAAUGAAGUGAAAUAUUGGAGAGCCUGCUUUUAUACCUCUUUUAAAACUGAACACAAAAGCCAAGUGAGAUCAUCGGGUUUAUUAGGCAGGAUAUUUCCAGUAAAGAUGGGGAAGCACUUCUGCCACCAUACAAGGAACUGCUCAGCCUCCAUCUGGAAAGUCACAGCCAAUUCCCAUCAGCUGUCUUUGGGAAGGAGGAAUCCAAAGCAGAACUCAGAAGAUGACUGGGACAGUGAGUGACACAGAAGUGACCAUGUGGGAUGUUCGGUGUGGCAGAGCUGAAGAGAGGGCACUGGUUUCUGUAGAUACAGCAGAAGGAAGAACAUUACAUAAAUGACAAUAAAUCUUUGGAUGACAGAGUGACUGUAAACUUCCACUCACGCUGGAAAUGAGGGUUCUGAGUCUUGGAGCAACCAGCUUCUGCAAGACGUUGCAUCAGGAGAGCAGGGCCGGGUUCCAUUGCAUAACCCACACACAAAUGAGCUGGCAUGUGAUGCUGUGAAAGAGGAGUCUGGCUGCAGUGAUCAUCUCCAGUCCCAUGUGCUCCUAGAAUACCGAUGAUUUCUUCCACUAGCCGUGGUAUUCCACAGGCUGCUGUCUAGCUGUGAUCUUCCAGAGAGCCAAAGUAAGCAUUAUUAUUUAGGUUUUAGCUCAGCUACAAUACAUCAUUUAGAAAAAGUCCUGCUGUGCUAAGCUGCAUUCAGUAGCAUGGCAACAUCCAGUGUAUAUAUUUGACUGCACUCUGCUUUGUCUUUUGUUAGCUCCGAUGUCAGCAGGUAAGUGAGCAGAGUGGCCCUGAGACCUGCCAGCAUGGGCACAGUGCUGGAAACUGUCUCAGUUUCACUUCUUUAGCAAACCUGGUGUUGCUGCGUUCCUCACCAGUGCCCAGCAUGCUGCUGUCAGUGCAUCACACCCAGAAUGCACAGACACUGCUUUGCUUUGCUCCUGACUUUCUGCAGUUUCCCUGUGGCAAGCUUCAGCUGCUUGAGCUCCUCUGCUCUGUGCCAUGGCUCCCUGCAGCCCCACACCUCCUUCCCUUUCCAAAAUGUAUUUUGAAGCUUCAGCUGUAGCGAUGUGGGUGCAUGUAACUGGGAGUGCUAACAUCAUGGUCACUACAGGGAGAAGCUGUGGCCCUAUGCCCUACAGUGGAGCUCUCCAAGACAUUGUGCCAGAGACUGCAGCUUACUCAGUGUGCUCCGGAAUGGGAUCUAGGAGCUGCAACAGCGUUUGCUUAAUGGCCAGCAGUGACAGGUUUAUAAAUCAACAUGGCACCUAUUACCUCCAAUGGAAAUGGUAAUCUGUUUUUUCUCCUAGCGGCUUCUGUUGCAAUAAUCAUGUGCUUGCAGCCUCCUCCAGGGUACAGUGCAAUGCAUCUCCCUUGCAGGAGUCACAUCCCUGCUGGGAGCCCCCCCAGCUCAGCAGGGCACUGAGCACCCCCCUGACUGCUGGGAGCCGCAGGUGCUCAGCACCUGAGCUCAGCCCUCUGGCAGGAUAUGUGCAGGUUCACUCUGCUUAUCACCAACAGCUGCAGGGCAGCCUGGAAAUGGAGUUGCAGGAAGGGAAGGGAUCCAUACGGCUGCUUUCUUUCUGCUUUUUUCCCCACUCUGAGGUAUGGAGGGCUGCUGAGCGUGGUGGAGCCCUGCAUUCAGAGCACCCUGUGCAGUCGGCAGCAAGUGGCCGGCACAGCAGCACCCUGGUGUCAGGUGUCUGUCUUAGCCUCUUCCCAGCAAGGUCUCCAUCUAAAUCAACAGAAGCUCUCUGGACUCCGAACCAUGGCAUAUGUGUAUUUUUAGAAGCCAAUCAAUCAGUGGUGACUGUUCAAGUUCAGGCAAGUCAAACACAGCCUGCAAAGUUACACAGAAGCACUGUGUGUUGUAGAAGGGUUGGUGAGCCUGCUUAUUAUUUGGCGUGCUGUGCCAAAUCCAUGAGCUGCUGAGGCUGGGUUCUUUUCAGAGAUAUCCAUAAGAAGUGCAAGUAUAAACAGACUGUGGAUUGUAAAACACGCUCUUUUUAAUUGAAGCAAUAAAGGACUGUUUGUGCUUCCAUAGAAGCCCUCUUUCAAGGUGCUGUGUGUUUUCCAAACUUUAACACAGCCCUGGGUUCAGGGUUUGUCAUGUGGGCCUUUCUGUAGGUGAGGAAACUGAGGCACAGAAGACUGCAGAUGCUGCCAAGGAGCUACAGAGACUGUGAAGUCCCAGCUUGUCUUCAGGGAAGUGCUGUGCUGGGCAAAGAAAACAAACACCUGUGCGCUGGCUUCCCUUCACAGUCUGAUCAGCGGAAACAGCAGCAGAGGGGUCAGGUCAGCCUCAGGGCUCUGGGCAGCAGCAGCAGGUUGGCUUUUCGGUGGCUUGGCUGCAAGGCAGGAACAUCUUGAGGCCUUUCUGGGUGUUUCUUCAAAGAGCGUUGCUGGGGUUUGGAAGCGCUGAUCAUGGAGCAGGUGUACAAAUGCAGCGUGUCGGAACAAAAAAUCACUGUAAUGAAUUGUAUCCCUUCAUGAAAAAUGCAGAGGCUCAGUAGUUGUGGGGAAGCAGGCGCAGCCUGGAGUCGAGCUGGACCUCUAACAUCAGACACCAACCAGUCAGAGAGCAGCUUAGAAAAUGCCGGUGUUCUGAUUUCCAGAGCCUCAGUUUAUCCAACUUGAAAAUGGAACUGAUGCUUUCCUAUGUCACUGACCACUCAGUCAAGAAACGUGGCUUUGGCCUCUUCUGCUUCUCUGCUUCUUCAUGCCCUGCCUGAUUGCUACAAGACAUCUGCUCCAGAGCUUCUCGUUGGAGUCUGCACAGCUGCACAAAAUGUAGUGCAUGAUCUGAUUCUCAAAUUGGGCUUAACUCAUAUGUGCAGUGCCAGCUGGAGGGGCCUGCCGAGUUUUUGCUGAUGCAUCAGAAAUAUAUUUUUAGGAAGGUUUCUCUAUAAUUAUCACAUUAUAGCUCCUUCUGGAUCACUCAGAGUAUAGUAAACAAUUGCUAUACUUGUUAGAGGUCAUGAAUACAGAAAAACAUUCCUCUGUGUGAGGUCUGCUGUUAAAUAAUAACUUGUCGUUUCAUGGCGUGGGGGGAGUGAAUGCCCUCGAAGGGACGUGCUGACAUUGUUCAAGCCAGUGAUCCAGUUCCUGUAAUUUACACCACUUUCUUAAAGCUGCUUCUCUGCACAAGAACAAUGGAUGUGCUGAGGGACAGCUGUUGCCCCGCUGCAGCUCCCAGCGCCUCGUGUGUUGAUCCUCUCUCCGGUUUCCCUGCUACGCUGCUGCAGCAACACGUGGAUGGCUCACUGCUGGAGGCCUUGGAGGUGAUGGGCAGCUGGGUGAGGAAGGUGGUUAGCGGACAGCUGUGCAGGGUGCAGCCCCAAGCAGAUGGGGAAGGGGAGUGGCAUUAGAAAGCGAUCACGCAAAGAGAUUAUUAAUGAGUAAUUUCAUGAUCAGCGAGUUGAAUGAACAGCGCUCACCUCUGUGGCAUCUCUGCUGUCUGGUGUAGAGGGAGCAUCCGCUGCUGUCUUUUCCUCAGGGGAUGCUAAUGGUGUCCAUGUCCUCCAUCUGUCAUCAGCAGCGUCUGUCUGGGACCUUCAGGGCUCUGAGAAAUCCUCCUCUCUGUCUCCUUGAAAUAGCCUGACACGAUCAAGAACUACUUGCACGCAUUCGGCUCACACAGUGCUCCAUGUACAGCUUUAUUCCCUUGGGAAAUCCAGGCUUUACAAUAAUCACCUUGCUGUUCAACCAGGUGUAACAUGCAGUUGUGAUUUUCAUAGUAUAGUAGAAAAGCGAGGAUCUGGCUGUGGCUGCAAUCAGUUAACAAAACAGAUAAGUUAGGGAUCCCAGAGCCCCUGGAGACCUAUCUCAAGGCCAAAGAAGAAACUGAGAAGUCUGAUGGAGCUGCAGAAGUGGGGUAGAGCAGUUAUCUCUGGCCAAACAGGUGACGGAUGUGUCCGUUAUGACUUCUCAGUCCCUCCCUGUGGCAUGGGAAUCUGCCCUUUAAUAUGUGGUCAAAAGAAAAUUAGGUCUUGGCAAAAACAUAGCAAAUUUAAGAGCUCAGUCUGGAAGGAGCUCAGCAGGGAGGCGUAGGAGCUGACUGCAGCAUUUCAAAGUCUUUCUAGAAGCUGUGGUUUGGAGAGGAAAAGGAGAUGAAAUCUUCCGUGUUGCAGCAUGCAAGAACUCACCAGCUCUACCUCUCCAAACGUCGCUGUGACAUGGCUCCACCAUAUUCAUACUCAUGACUGAGGGGAUGGCAGACUCCAUACUCAGCCCCUUGCUUUUCUUGGUUUGUGUUGCAUGCUCCAUGUUGUUUUAAUGUAGUUCCUAGUAUUUAAUGCAUUUUGAUUGCUUUCUCUAAUAACAUCGACUGAGUGCUAGGAGCCAAUCUAAACAAGCUGUGCCAAUAAGCCAAACAUUUCACUUCAACCAGCAAAGCGGAUGCCUCUUACCCCUACUCACGCCUGGCUGUGCAAACCAAGGACCUCGCUGCUCAUCAGGGAGAGCAAAGCAAAAGCCUGGUGUGUUGUGGGCAGAGCUGGGCUGUGUCCCUGUGUCCUUGUGUCCCUGCCACGCGUGUGCCAUCGAGGUGCAGGUCAGGCAAUGUGCAAAGCUGGCUCUUCUCGAGGGAUGAAUGCGGCAUCUUGUCUCAUGCACUUUGACAAGCUGGGUCUUGGUUUUGUGAGACCGUGAGCACCUCUAAAUCCCUUUGACAUCAGUGGAAGCCGGACUUCACGUUCUGCAUCACUGGAAGCCUUUCCAAGCAAUUAAAAAACAACCCCAGACCUCCUCCCCUGGUGCUGAUCUGUGGUGUGGUGUUGACGUAAGUGUACUGGAGUUUUACUUACAGCAGCUGGGUAGUUGGCACUUUUAUAGGACUUUUUAAAAAAUUCUUUCUGUCUUUUGCACAAUAUUCCUGAUUUUUUUUUUUACUCUGUUUGUUUUUCUCCCACAAGCCCAGCCUUCAUGUCUGUCGUCUCAGCACUGCUUCCUGUUGUUCUCUGUGAUCUCCCUUGUUCCAUCUUCUCUUCUCUGGUUUCCUCCCUUUCAUUUUAGCCUUAUUUUCCUCAGGCUGCCUGAGCCCAUCCUCCCAGAGGGGAAAUGUAUCUGUCUCAUUCCCGUCUCUGUUUCCCUCCCAGCCCCACAGCUGUUCCCUCUCCAGCAGACCCCACUCCUGCUCAGAGCACCAUCUAUGUCCAACCCCUUUCCUCCAUCACUGCAGGUCAACAACAGAGAAAACAGAAAAUGCACCAGGAGAGGGGGGAUUACAGCCCAGAAGGAUCGUUCCUGCGAGAUGCCAAGUGCUGUCUCACCAGUGCUCACCUGGACUGCUUGCAUCUGGCUGGAUGGUGGAACCCCCAUCCCCAGCACUGACCAUUUGUGAUUUUUCAUGCCACGCAAUCCAUCACUGCUCCUGGGAGAUUUUUGCCUUUCAUGCUGCCCAAGCCUGAAAGCCGUAAACUCUGCAGUGAGGAUGUGGUGAGGUGUGAAUGUACACUUCAUUUCCAAGCGGUUCUAUUCCCCUCAUGUGCUGCACUUGACCAGCAAAGCAGUGGGCACCAUUCUCUGUGCUUUGGCCCAUGUAAUUACGUGUUUUCUAGCUGUGCUCGGUCAAAAGUAAUCAUGGAGUUACAACCUCAGCUGGGACAGAAACCAGUCAAUUUAACAAGCUGAGUUGUGUGCGAUUACAGAAGAUACAUCCUGCCACGGAUUUGUUCUGCCACCCUUUUGCUCUCCUAAGUAGAACACACUGUGGGGACGGAUGGAGCCGGAGAGUGGUUGGAGGUGGCACAGUCUGCCCAUCCUGCUGGGGUGAGAUACCUGUACAGCUUAUGGGUGUGAAGGGACUUUUCCCUCCAGAGAAGUGGGAUGCAUUUAGUUGCAGUCUGCAUAUCUGCCUCAGGCACCUCGUGAGCCCUGCCUUGGGUGUGUUUUUACAGAAUUGGGGAAUUAUCAGAUCUGGAAGGAGAAUGUGCAUGGGCUGAUCUGCAAGCACUGCUGUCCACUUGUACCCAGCUGCAGUCGCAUCCCUCGCUCUGUCCCUUCGCCUCUCCUGUAUUCCCCGACUCAGGCUUUGCCUUGUUCAGCAACAAAGAAAAUGCCUUCAGAAACAUCGUUGCCCUGAUGCAGCAGGAGGCUGUGACAGAUACAGUCACUGCUGCGGAAUGAGCACACAGCAAUGCUGCGCUGUCUGUGCCAUUAUUGUUCUCUGCUGCAAACUGGAAGCGACUGAGAGCAGGGCAAGGCAGCGGCCCUUCUGUAACAGCCCCCCUGGGAUGUGUACACAUCUCCAGUGGUGCAGGAUGUGCACAAUGGGCAUGGCUGGCAGCUUCUGCUGUGAGGAUGAUGACAGAAUCCCUCCUCUGGAUUUCACCUCCGUAUCUCAUACCCUCUCAGAGAUUGCUCAGCAGUGAUUGACAUUCAAACUGCCUGCUCUUAAAAAACCAAGUAAGGGAAUGAGAAGGGAAUAUGUAAACUUCCAGGGUAAACUGUGUUGAAAAAUUAAAGGGUGAUACGGUGGUCGGCUCCAGGCUGGUCCUGACUCUCAUGGGAAUAGUUAUGACCUCUCCAAAGGUUCUUCUCAUCAGGUUUUGUUAUGGGGAAGUCACUGUGCAUCCCCUCUGUGAGCAGUGAGAGCUGUGGGACUGCCCGCUCAGUGCUGCACUGACAGCUCUGCAACUGCCAGCAGCAAUAGGUAUGUAUGGAGUGAGGGGAAAAAAUCCAAAGCACAGCAUGAGUUUGCAUUACCUCUUGGUUAUGUGGGUUACUGAAUUCAAGAGCAAGUUUUAGUUACACAGCACAAACAGCCCACUUGUGAAUAUGUCACAGUGAUGCUCUGGCACGCUCAGCAGCCCAUAAAAAUGCCCACUCUGCUUAUACUGUUGAAUUGUUUCAGCCUUUGAUAAACCUUCUGUUUCAGCCUGUUGUAGAUUUUAAAGCAUUUCUUGCUAAUGGGUUUUCACAAUGUGGUUUAAGGGCUGUUGUUAUUAAUAAAUGUAACUGCACUGAAUAGUAAUUUGAUAAAGAUGAAAGAGGCAUUGAUGAAUUCCACUUCCCUUUCAGCUGCUGCUAGGAAUUUUUUCCUCCUUCAGAAUAUGUUGCAUUUAAUCUUGAUUUCCUUUUUGUUAAAACUGCUACUUUCUCACGUUAUAAAGAGAAUAUCAGUGGAGUCGGACCAGUUGUGCCAUCUUCUGUGUGGUAAAGAUCCAGUUCUGCUCAGUGAAUGGCAGAAAUUUCCUUGCUGAACAGCAGGGCUGGCUGGGUGUCCCAUCAGAAAUGCCUACAAAUAGCGUAUUCACAGACUGAUUGGAGGACAGCCCACCUCUGACCAUCUCUGUGUUUAUAAAUCCUGUUUGGACUAACGUGAUAUUCAGGGGAACGCAGGUCUUGACCACACACACUGUCAACACAGGACCUUGGACUUGAACUUUGUGCCUCGGACUUCAGCUUUGUGAGCCCUCAGACAGCCCUUCUGCAGCUGCAUCAGGCCACACACAGUCACAGCUCUCAGCUGGGAGACGACAGGCACAAAGCUGGCACUGGCUCUGUGAUUACUUCUCUGCAAAGUCAAACAGGGCCAAAAAUAAAUGCUAGUGAAGGAAUAAACAGACGUGAAAAGAAGGCUUGGACACUUGGAGGACAAGACUGCUUUGUGUUUCCCAAAGCAAUAAGCCUCUUCACAAGGAGGUUACUCUUUCAGAAAAACACGGGUCCUGUGACACUGCCAAGGUCAGUAGGUGCCCAGCAGAGCAGGGAGCAUUCAAGGCAGACGUGGUUUGGGAAAGGGGCAUAUUUGCUCCCAUUGAAAGAGGAGAGAGGAGAGAAAUUUACAUUGCUCUGCCAUUUCAGCUCUUUCUACAGGGUUUGAACACGCACCAGUUUGGCAGCAGAAGGCAGCUUCCACCUAUCUCAGAUGGCAACGUAGCCCCAGCACUGUGGCUGUAUCACUCGCAUGCUGGCUUGGGAAGAGGGCAGUGCUGCUGCAGUUCUGCAGCUGAGGAGGCAGGUAAAGAGAGGACAUGCAUCACAUGCAGAGUCCCGGCAGUAAGGCCUGGAUUUCUCAAGGUGCUUUGCAUUUUUCAGAAGUCCCUUGUGGACGUGGCUCUCUUCUUGUGCUGGUGCUGUACGAGCACUCUAAGCUAGGCCUCUGCUACCUGUCGGCGUGUCUCGGACCGGUCAGCUGCAGUCUGGAUGGGCUUUGCUUUCUGCAGGAAAUAGGCAGAAUUCAAAGCAAAUAGCUUGGUACAGACACCUUGCUUUCUGGUAAGCAUAAUUGGUUAGCAAAGUGCUGCAGUGAUCUCAGUGGGGGUAGGAAGCUUUGGACUUCACUUUAGGGACUUAACUCAUUCUCCAUCCAGUGCAGUAUCUUUUGAAAUGUGACUUUUUAGGCUCUUUAUUGUCUCAGUUGGCUACAGAAUGAAAAUGCUGGGUAAUAUUGAGCAAUGAUAAGAUGAUACAGAGUCUGUCUCCUGCACAAAGGGAAGUGCAGUUCUUUCGCUGUCUCUAAAGCACCAAGUUGUGAGUCAUCCAAAGCAUCUGAGGACUCUGGGUAAGAAACAUGAGCUUUUAAAGGCACCUCAUUAGGACUGAAUCUUCAGCACCGUCUGUAGUGACACACCAAAACAUACUCAUCUCAAAGAGGGCAAAUGUUGAGAAGUUAAGGGAGCUAAUUAGUGGAAUCAGCUGCACUGCAGAUCUGAGGAAUUGAAUGUGAUGGAACUUGGAUUCCAAAACCAGCUGAAACAUGCAGGAAGAUGAACCCUGACAGGAAAUGCUCCAACCCCAGUGGGAUAAAUAACCAGCCCCAAACACGUGGAGAGCAUUAACUGACAUGCAGAAGUUCUGAUUGGCAUGAGGGUAUUCUGCUGGCAUGCAGCUAAGGAUUGAAAUCAGAUGUCUGGAGAGGAACUGCUACAGAAUACGAUGCUCUGCUCUGCUCUGCUCUUUGAUGGAGGCCAUCACUCUUAUCACAGGGCUGACAAAGCAGCUUACCCUGCAGGUCCUGAACAGCCACCACUCCAGUGACGUGUUCAGUGCAGCAGUUCUGGACCUGCCUUAUGAGUUACUGCCACUGCCACAAGGAUGGCAUUGGAGAAGAGUGGUGGAGCAGAAGACUGAAGGCAGUAUUUGCCUCAGUCAUCCAAUUUGAAGCUGCUGGGAUGGGAAAGGCAGAGACAGGAUGAAAAAUGUCAAAAGUGAACUUGUGAAUUGGACUUGAAAAGGAAAUUAGAACAGAUGGCAGAGGGUUUCAGCUAGAGAAAUAAAAAGAGGAGAAACGUGGUCAUUAUGGAGUGAGAAUGGGGUUGAGAUUAAGACCCAUCCACAUAUGGUCUAAAAAUGAAUUAAAAACACUUUGUCCACAUUUUCAGUAGAGAUGAUCGUAUUGAGCAGUGGGACAAAGACAAGAUUUCUAGUGGGAAUAUACAUAAGGGAAUGAAAAUUAUCACAUGUAAGGUGGAAGGAAAAGCAUGAAGAAUUCGGUGUGCUCAGGUGAAGGUGCACUGGCAGAUUUCCAUCCCAGGAUUUGGCACAUUAAAUGAGUUCAGCUUAACCUGAUAUUUCUCUUUGAUGACUGAUUAUUUUUUUAGGCAAAUGAAAUACAGGUGAUUUACUCUAUCCAGAAUCUGAUAUUAUACCACAGGGGAAAUUACUCGUUGAAGUUGAGAUGAUGGGGAUUAGUGUGGAUGGUGAAUGCAAACCUGUUAAAGUGCAGAGGAAAGGGGAGCUCUGAGCAGAGAAGAAAUGCCAGACAGAGGCAGUCAGUAAGUGGAACUCCUCAGGAGUCAGUGUUGAGCUCACUCUUGCUUCUUUCAUUAACGAGUCUGGCACAGCAGUAGGAAUGUAGUAAAGAAAUCUGCUGAGGACACGGGCUUUGUUAAUACAGAGGAUGAUCGGAACAUCAAUCAGCAAUGAGUGAAUGACAGAAUUCAUCUGAAAUAGAAUAGAGAAAGUAUUAAGACAUGCAUUUAGAAAUUAAUAACUAGAAUAUCAUAUUACUUACUUGAAGAUGACAAAGGCAGGGGGGUGGAAAAAAAACCACAGAGAAUAAUUCGCUCCCAGGGAUGACUGUGAGCCACCAAUCUGAUAUGGAGAAGCAAACACAAUCCUAGAAGGUACAGGUUCACUCAUGUUCGAGGAAGAUUAGCAGGUACAGAGAAGGGCAUUGAGGAUGAUCAGAGGGUUUGGAACAAGAGGAGACUAGAAGAGUUUCAUUUGUUUAGUUUUUCAAAACAAAGGCUAGAGGAGAUAGGAUUGUUUUCAGUAAAUAUAUCUGAUAGGUAAAGAUCAGAGAAAAAAGAGAAUUGUUUAAACUACAUUAUGAUGCUGGCACAAGAACAAAUGAUAUUAAGGCUGAAAAUUUUAAAUGAAGUGCUGGGACAACCUGCCAAAAAGCACGAUAUGAUGUAAUUGAAUGUAACAGUAGGAGGCUGGAUCAGUAAUCCAGAGCCCUGUGUUCCUAGAUAACUUCUUUUUUGGGAAGGGAAUUAGCCACAGCAGCUAAAUGCAGGGAAUGGAAAGAACAGCCCGGACCAACACCACAAAGGUGUUCCCAGUGAUGGAGCAGUGCGGUGUGUGGUGCCUAUAUGGAGUGGUUUCUUUCUUAGUAAGAAGACCAGGCCGCAGUGUGUGCUGCUGUACAGCUAAGUGCCAGCUGUACCAGAAAAGCAGUGUCACUAAAACAUUUCGCUGUGGGUUUGAGCUCUUGCUUUUUACCCACAGUGUGACCGUCUUUCACCUCCCAAACCUAAAUAUACAUGGCUGAAAGCACACCUUCAGGAAUGGCUGUCCCAGCACUGCCAGUGGCUCGCAGGCUGUGCAGAGGCUGGAAGCAGGCAGUGUGCUCGGCUCCCCGCUCUGUCCCCUGGAGCUUUCCUUUUCUGAUGCCCUGUUAGGCAGAAUGCCCACUCACGGGGAAUACUGCUGUACCUCUUUGAAGAGAAGCAGUAAAAAGGCUUUUGGCAAAGCGGCCUCUAACCAGCACCUCUUAAAUGAAGCUGGCUGACAUACACGCGUGCUGCAGUGAUGCCCCUGCAGUGGGAAGAGCCCCCUGACCUCAGGGCACGGGACCUGCUGGUCCUGCAGCCCCUCUGGAGCAGGGGCUGAGCAGCAGCUGGUGCCGGGGGCUGGGGCUGCUCUGCUCUCCCACAGGUCUGCACCAGGUGCCCCACGCUGCUCAUCCGAGGGCAAGAAAAUGCAGCUGGCCAGAGUCCUUGGGUUUGGAAGCAGCCCCACCAGCUAACAGGAGGGCCUUCCCUUUUCCUCCCCCCAAGAGAACUGGCAAAUUCAGCUCUUCAAUGGCACGAGCUCAUCUCAGCCUUGCCUAUAAAUAGAUAAAUGAGAUUCCUCCAGUCCCAGUGAGCAAUUCUGACAUCCUCCCUUUGCCUCGCAGAGAGCUGAGUCACAGGCACUCUGCACUCCAGUCCCUGCAUUACUUACAUGGUCUCAAAGGAAAUUUUAACACAUCCAAUGAAUCAUCAGGGAUUGGAUCAUGUUUAAAGUUAUUCCAGUGGCAUUUCCCUUCUAUUGUAGCAAGUCUGCCAACACCUAAAACUUUAGCUAAUCUGGACUCAAAAUGCAUUGAGGAAAUAGCAUGUUGACAUACACAGCUACUAAUACAAAUAACUUAAAAAGUUCUCUUAAAUCUGCAUCAACAAAUAAAUGACCCUUAGUGGGUUCCUUUAGCACUUCGGUCCUGCUAAUUUUGUCAGACUGCUUUGUUUUGUAGCUGCUUAUUUAAAAGAACUCAAAAGUUGGAAAUGUUUUAAUAUUCAGUCUUUAGGUCCCUAAUUUAAUCUCCUGCAGGUUUCCUGCCAAAGUAUUAUUUGCACUGAGAUGGAGCUUGCAGCCCUGUGCUCGGCCUUUCACAGAAAUGCACAUGUUCCUGUUCUUACCCACGAUAAAAAUAAAAUGCCUGCAAAGCAAGGACAAAACCAGAGUGGUGUUAAGUAUAAAACACACAGAGUUAUCUGCCGGCUGCACGAGGCUCUGAGCUCCAGCAUGAAGCUGUAUCUCCUGAUGGGGCACUGGCACUUGUUACCCUUCCUUCUCCCACCCGGGACAGUGUAGUCUGAUUGGCUUAAAGCAACACAGCAUCUGCAAUCAGAGGAGGUCUCCUUCUGCCUCAGAAACAACUGAAGAGUGCAAAACUCUCCAGCAGAAUUUGGGAGCUGUGAAACAAAUAGAAACACAUUUCUCUCUGUUGGUUUUCUGGCUUGCCUUGCUGUAUCUUAGAACUUGUUGGGACUUUCCACUCAUCCAGAAUCCGGUUACCAGACUCUCCAUUUGAAUGAACAAGAAAUGCUAACAUUGGCUGGCUUGCUGCUGUGCUUUAGUACUCUGAGACCUGAAACCUGGCUGGUUCUUUUGAUAACCCUAGGAAUGCUGUGUCUUAUUCAAAUCACAUCUUUCUAACACCUUUUCAUAAAGCAACUCUCUGCCUGUGUGUAGACUGUUAACAAGCAUUUGUGCAACACAUUCCAGCAUGAGCUGCAGUCUCUCCAUGAGAUGAUGUGGCUCCUACACUGAGGCUCACUGGUUUAUUUAUCAGCUUAGCACAGCACAGCUUUGCUUGACAGUGUUCUGCCAGCUGUUACUAUACAAUAGCACUGGGAAAGAAGAUCAGUUUUGGCUCUCAGUGGAAUUGGCCAUAAUUCAGCUACCUGUUGACAAAUUAUGAUUUAUUUAACAGCAUAAACUGUAAUAUUUGUAUAGCUGAUAGUUUUCACCCUUCCCUGCAGCUGGAAAAAAAAAAAAAAAAAAAAAGAAGAGGAACUCCCAGAAGUUCCUCACUUGAAACUGAAGUUUGAUUGUAGUAACGCCUUGUACUGCUGUUUCUGUGCAGGAAAAAUGACAUCUCUAAUGGACAAAUCAGUGGUGUCUGUGUGAUGCUGGAAGAGGGCAGGUGCGUUGAUAGGGAUCACACAGCUUCUUGCUUGGCCUCCUUCCUGCAGCAGUAAUCUUUGCCAUGUAGUGAAGGGAUGGAGGAUGGCUGGUGGGGCCUCCCGAGUGGGGCUGUGCUCUGAGCUGCCAUGGGGACAAGGUGCAGUCCAGGCCUCCAAGUUCCCCGUAAUGCAGCAUGCAGGAUGUGACCUCAGGAGUGCUGGGGGUCCUGCUAAGGAGAGCCGCCUUCACAGAAGGCAAACGAGGUAAGUCAAAAAAAAAGGGGCUUUAGAAUAAUUGUGUAGAUGGCCUUGUUCCACCUGCAGCAGUGAGCUUAGUGUAACUUCUCAGCCCGCACUCCUGCCUGUGCUGGGAGUGGGACAGUGGUGUGGCUGCACCAGGUUGGUAAGGGCUACUUCCAUGUACUGCAUGCUUCCGAAAUAGGGGCCAGUAAUUCAAGCCAAAUGACACAGCAGAUCCACAACAUAAAAAACAACAAUUAACCUACCAAUUUUUGCUCAUGCCUUUAAAAUACGCUCCGCCAAACUGUACUUCAUGACUAUCUCUCAGGAGGGCCAGAUUCUGUAGGACAUGUCCUCAGCUUGCAGAAAGAGAUCAUUAAUCAUUAGUGUGCCCUGGUCCCUGGCUAUUUUAAUCACUGGUGAAAUACUCAUGCAGUUCCCACUCCUAAAAAUGGUAUUUGACUCCAAUGCACAUGAUUUCCUUUGGCUUCCUUUCCCCAUUUAAGAGCAAGCCAUAACAGCCUGGAAGUACAAGCACUGGAAUCCGUAGAUUUGCUUCUCAUUCGCCACAGAGCCAAAGCUUGGUACUGCAGGUAGCAUCUGUGCUGACCAAAAGAUCAGAAUAUAUUGUGACUGGCUGUCUGUGACAGCCCUUCUGCCUACAGACUGAUGGUCAAACCCUGUCCUUUGUCUGUGUGCUUGAGACUCGUGACAUCUAUUCAUUUUGCUGAGGUUUUAUUUUGUUUUCUUUGUCUUUAUAGAGAACCAAAUCUCAACCAGUACCAACUGGGCCCCAGAACAGAGUCCUGCUCUUGGGAAGGCUGUCCUGGUUGUCCCACCAAUUCUCUUAAUUAAACUUGAUUGACUCUGGCCUAAUUAAAAAGACACAGACCAGCAGUAAUCUGCUAAAACUAAAGGUUGCUUGGCAGCUUGGAUUUCUAGUUUUGCUGAAAGUAGUUUAAAACAUGAAGAAAGUUUGCCUUAAUUACCAUAUUUCCUCCAUGAAACAGCUAUUCAUCGAAAACUACAGCCAAGUACCAAAGGGCUCCAGUGAAAGAAGGCACCAAAUUUGCCUGCAAAAUGUUAUUUCCUGCACUGGUCUAAUUCAGAUCAUGUGGCUGACAUGCAAUUUCUAUUUGACUGAAAGCACCACAUUAAAUUAUUCCAGGCAGAUGUUGUGCACUGAAAGCAGUCGAUAACAUCACAGGGCAAUUCAGAAAGGCCCUGUGCAGCCAGAGACUCCUUGCAGCCUGGAACAUGGGUGCUUGAAAGAUGCUGGUGCAAUUGCUUUGAUGUGCAAAGAAAUAUGAACAGUGGCUCAAGCUUAGUACAUCUUCUGCUAUCCAUGCAGAAUUAUCUGCAUGCCAGAAGGGGAUGCUUUGUUUUGGCAAGGUCUAUUGAAAUGUUCAUACUACUUACUUAGCAUAUGCCAGGGAUGGCAACUUCAAGAAGUCCAGGGCAGCACUUAAGCAGAGUAGAAGUGGAUGGCAUCACUUGAGACUGACUGAAAAAAUCAUGAUUGCCUGUGUAUACUUUUCAAAACACAUUUAUUAUAGGAAUUUCUGCAUUUUUCCAAGCCAGACUGGAGGUGCUAAAUGACAGUGAAGUUUCAAAAGGAACAGCCAAAUUUGUCCUUGAAAUCGUAAUGCUUUGGCCUGGGCACACAGAAUUGGACUCACAGGUCUGCCCAGAAUGCCCUGCAGUGAAAUGGAGCAGGAAUCCCACCUGCAGGGCAUGCAGGAGCCCUCCUGCCUGCCAGCCCCUGGCCAAGUACCAAGUGUCCCCACAGGGCUCUGCACCUGCCCUCCACUCCAAGGCUAUUGGAGGGGUGUGUGACUGGGAGAGCUGUUUUGAGAACAGAUAGGAUAAAAAUAACACCAACUCUUCUUGCUCUCCUAUUCACCACAUGCAGUCACAUAUAUGAAGGGCUUCUUCCACAGAGAUGCAUAAGCAGGAAAUUGUGGCUUACCAGAAGGUAGAAGACACAAGGUUAUAAAGCACUGGUAGAGUUUGUCAGACAUUUAUAUAGGCAGAGUUCCCAUAGCACAUGAGAGAAAGAUCCACUCAUCCAUGCACCGGCUUCAGGACGGGCUGCAGGAUUGCUCUGUGUGCAUCCCCUGCAUUCGGAGGGCCCCUUCUGACCUCCACAUCCACCACUUGGCUCUCUCCAUGGGUCAGAGCUGUGAUAGGAAGAAGGUGGGCAGGCUCAAUCCAGUAUCACAAAGCAAAAAGGGGUUUAUUUUAGCAUAUAAAUAUUCUUACUUUGAGUAUGAUGUGAAUACUAAAGAUAAAAAUUGUAACGUAGGAACAAAAACCCCUUCUGGAUCUUCCUGUUUCCGGUACUAAGAGUCGGUGGUUGUUCUCCAUCCUGGUAGUAGUGGAGCUGCUUCUGUUUAUUCCAUCGGUAGAUAAUGGGUUAAAAGCAGAUCAAUUCCAGCCACACCGGGGGAAACAUUCAAUUCCUUCCAUCUUGUUUCGGUAUCAGGUGAAGACACUGCACUGGCUAAAUGAGGAAACAGUCUGCGGCUUCGUACGCAGGGCCAGUCUCAGAAAUCAAAGGCAUCAAAGCAGAAAGUCCUGAACCAAACCACUCCAAAAGCAGCGGCCUGCAAGGCAGCCCUGAGCAGCACGGGUUUCUUUGCUCCCAGCCCAUCCAUAGCUGACAGAAGGGUGCCUUUCUUGUGCCCUUUACCUCCCUUACCUAGUCACACAGCCGCUGGGACCAGGAUUGGCUUUUAGGGCUUGCUUACACAGAGCAGUUGACUAUUCUGCAAUAGCUGCUGCAGGAUGACUUCAUGUGAACGCGCUCAUUCCGCAGCGGCUGUUGGAGCUCCUGAUUCAUACCAUACCUUAACUGGAGUCGCGUCAGCAAGUCAGCGUGCAUUACAAAGUUAAGCAAGACCUGGGACCCAGUCUGGGGUUUCUAGUCACUUCUCCUUUACAUAGAAUUCAGCUCUAACAGAAGCAGUUGAAAUGUUCCUGAGAAUGACAAAUAACAAAUGAGUAAUUCUUGCUCCAGAGCCACGUAGCCCAAUUAAAAAUAGGUAAGUGAUGUGCAAAGGCAAGUCUGUGCAGUCCGGGGAGAGAGAAGGGAAAAAAAGAAAAAUAGGCAUGCAUUUCUAAUCUAUUGGCACAGCCACGUGAAGCAGAAUUCAUUGAUAAACAUACCAAUUAAUUGGUACACAAAGCCCUUUCAAAAAGGUAAUGACUAAAGCAACCAGACGCUGGGAAAAGGACAGUUACUGUUGUGGAGCCAGCUUAAUUUGGUUAUCCAUCUCCCUUGGUAGAGUUAUUAAAGGGGGAAAAGCUUUGAACACUGUUGUAGGGUUCAGUGAAAAUAAAAACGCAACACAUACAAGCUCUCAGAAAUGCAAACAAGGUGUUAGAAUGCAUGAUGGAGGAUAAUUGAAUAUUACAGUUCUGUUUAACAAAUUGCUUCUCUUUGUGCAAUUACUGCAUCUCCGUCUGCCCUAAGCAGGAAAGAAGCUCAGAAUGAGGCGAUGGGGAUGAGCAGAGAGCUGCGAUGACUGAGAGCAGUUCAGCAGGAAGAGGAGGAAAGCAGGGAGUUAGCAAGGAGAGGGCAGUUCCCAGCGUAAUGAAAGGCAUUAAGUCUAAAACCACCAACGCUUUCCCAAACAUGAAAAUUGAAUACUGAGAGAGAAAAGAAAAAAAAAAAAAAAAAAAAGAAAGAAA